rnacentral:rRNA from 1 species
CACGUAGGGCGCAAGCGUUGUCCGGAAUUAUUGGGCGUAAAGAGCUCGUAGGCGGUCUGUUGCGUCCGCUGUGAAAACUCGGGGCUUAACCCCGAGCCUGCAGUGGAUACGGGCAGACUAGAGGUAGGUAGGGGAGAAUGGAAUUCCCCGGUGUAGCGGUGAAAUGCGCAGAUAUCGGGAGGAACACCGGUGGCGAAGGCGGGUCUCUGGGCAGUAACUGACGCUGAGGAGCGAAAGCGUGGGGAGCGAACAGG